rnacentral:lncRNA from 1 species
GGCGUUACAAUUAUGUCGUUUACAAUUCCAAUCGGGGAGAUGAUUAGUCUUGAUUAUCGGAGCAGUUGACUACAUGUAUAGAGAUAUAGAUGUAUUCAUUGGUAGAAUGAUACAUUGGAUUGGACCCAAAAUGAGUUAAUUCUGAAUUCGUUUGUAAAUUAAUUCACUUGUGACGUUCAUGAUGUGGUUUACCUAAAUCCUGUUUUAGUCACUAACCAUGUUUAUGCAACACAUGUAACGCUCCAAAACCCGGCCUAGAAGUUUAGAUCGAAUCUCGAAGGUUACAUUGAUCACCGAAAUGAUCGUAGGAAAAAAAAUUAGUUUAACCAGUUAGGAAACAAACGGUAUUUAAGUUAUGUAAAGCUCUAUGUUGUAAACUCCCAAUGUCACAAAAAUUUUAGUCCCAAAAGACACUUACGUACGUAUAACACAACGUUUCG